GCACCCGUAGCUCAUUUGGAUAGAGUGCUUGGCUUCGAACCAAGAGGUAGCAGGUUCAAAUCCUGCCGGGUGCACCA
rnacentral:tRNA from 1 species